UAGGCUAGUGUGUGUAUUUGAAAAGAGUUAAUUAGAUAGCAGCCUGGUUGGACGGUACAACAUCAGUUUUACUAGUCUUGUCAUUCUAGAAACAUAAUUAGUGUACAAUUUUAACGGAUCUGAAAAGGACGUAGUGUUCAAAUUCUACCUGGAUUCUCAAUACUGUAUGUUUUUAUGGCUAUGUGUUAAAGCUAGAAUUUAGCUGGGACUGUCUGGGAGUGGUCUAAGUAGAGGGCCAAAUUGAACGAGCCUAAUGGGUGGGAUAUGUAACCUGAAGAGUAGCUGUUAUUGGCAGAGAGGUUUGAAACUCUCUUUGUUAUUGGUCUAUUAACUUAUAUAAUAGAAACUCCAUCCCACUAAAACAGGCUGACAUUUCAGACAGCUCUUACACUAAAACCGGCUGUCAUUUCAGACAGCCCUUACACUAAAGCAUUAUUAUCAUAAUUUUCACAAUAUUAUUCCAAUCCCAUAGUGUUGAAAUAUAUAUAUAUAUAUUGACCGCCCUGGGAAUUUAAGGCAGGUACAGAUUGGCCAUGAUAUUGACUAUGUGUUAAGGCAGGUACAGAUUGAUCAUGAUAUUGAAGGCUUCGUUCAUACAAAAUGUCCAUGCUAAAAAAACGAACAGUAAAUAAUAGCCUGGUUCAGGAAACGUAAUCCAAAGAAAAUAACCAAAACUAAAUCAGCAAGACAAGGCUGAGACAUACAAA